UGCGCCAGGCGAGCAAUUCCUAUAGGACUGAAAGGGCGCCAUUUUUUGUCCGGUGUCCAGCUCUUGUAAUACAUCCAUGCGAUGUAUGUGCGGUGUUUACAAACAAAUGUGUAGCUGGUGUCGGAGAUUAUCUACCCGACAGUCUAUGCCAGGAUACGCAUUCUACGUAUCUCCAGCGAGCAGCUGGAGAUACUUCUACACUAAGUUUGUUGCACAGUUGUUCCAAGUUUGUUUGUUUAUUAGCGCAUUAGCCGAACGUGUGUUGUUAGCAUUCAUUAGCACAGUGAAUGGAUUUACAGCCACUGUGUAGCUAACUCAAAGCUAAAGCUAAAGGCCUUAGUUCGUCGUUUUCGACGUGGAAACCCUGAGGAUUUAUCGGACAGUGCUAUGAGCCACUAAGUCAUCGCUCAGAGAGACUUUUCACUACAUGGGCCGGACCCGCCAUCUUGGGACUUGAGCGUGUAUCCUCUUCCUUCCCGGAGACCGAGGUUGGUGUAAACUACAUCCUGUUCUUUCCCGGAGACCGAGGCUGGAAUAAACUGCUGAUUGGAGUCAGACUUCAUGACCAAGUCACAGCGAUGCCUCGGCCAGCUCCUGCCAGACUCUGCUGCCAGAAUGAAAGCAAACCUCUGCAUAGAAACCUACAGCAGCUGGCACCGUACACCCCGCCCUCUUCCCAGGCAGGGAGGUGGAGGUUGGGUGGGUGGGUGUGUGGAGGAGGGAGAGAGAGAGAGAGAGAGGGGGGUCCUGUCCUGAAAAACACACUCCCAGCUCUGGCUGUUUACAUCUCUUUGGCAAGUCUGUGGCUGUUUCCAUGGCAACGGGUGUAAAGAUAGUUGGGAUGUCUCAGGGAUACAGUGCGCCAACUGCUGCUGAUUGCUGGACGUGAGUUGAAGAAUGAAGAGGGAACACAGGAAGUGAGAGAGGAGGGCGCCAGCUCACCAUUAUCUCAGACUGAACCUGUUGGAGAAAUCAACGCCACCCGCCAAACAAAUGCAGCUACUGUUUUUAGGCACCGGCUGCUUUGUUUGCUUUUUAUUCCCUCACUGGGAAAUUACACUUACAGGUGCACUAGGCAUGAUUUUAAGGUUAAACCACACCUGUGUUACCAGACUAAAUGAUUAAGUGCAGCUACAACAAUCUCCUCUCCACUAACUGAGAUGCUACACAUUUUACUGUAUGUCAUUCUCAUUCAAGUCACAUAAAUAUAUAUAUAUAUAUAUUACAUUUACAUGUUGGUAACAUUACAGUUUGUCAUCCCCAAUCCAAAUCUCUGAAGCCUGAUGUUCCAGCAUCUGGUUUUGUAUCUGUUGCUAUGGGCAACGACACCACCCAGAACUGUAUAACUGAAUCAUACUUGCAUUUGCAUAUCAAGCAGCUAAAAACGUCUUAUUUUUCCUGCACGAUGGUGCCGUAUUUAAAAAGAAAAAAGAAAACAAGUAGUGAUCUGAUCAGAAUCUCUGUUGGACCAUGUGUUAAUGGUCAGAUAUCAUGCAGGAGGGUUUUAGGAGUUGCAGGAAUGAAAAAAACAACCCCCACCCCCCACAGACCUUUGUUUUAUAUAUUGUCUUAUUCCAGGAAGUUGACUGAUCAAAAGUAAUCAAAAGAUAUUAAACACCCCAGAUCAGCUGGUUUAAAUAACAUAAUCAGGUAAUACUUCAUUCAAUAAUUUCCUGUAAUGUCCUUGUUUAUAUGGUACUGACAGGACAAGACAUUGUUCAAUUGAUACACUUGCAAUGGAUUAAUUCCUAUUAAUUGCUAGUGUAGCCUGUUUUUUUCUGUUAAUGAGAACACAACAGCAGGCAAAUACAAUUCAUAAUGUGGAGAAUAAUAAUAAAUGCAAUAUGACCUAAACCUGCAAACAGGUACUUUGGGGUCGAAGCACCUGAUGCAACUCUUUAACUUUGGUUUGAUGUGCUUUUGUUUGUAUGUAUGGGAUACUUGGGAUAUUGUUGUUGGGAAACCAACAUUUGACUGUGAGCUGUCUGAGGUACUUUUCAGUCACUCUAUAAUCUCUGGAGAAAAACAGACCAUACACAAGAAUAUGAAGCAAAGAAAGAAAGCACCAGUUAAAAGAUAAAUAGUUUAUGUGAAUCUCUCACAUAGCAUUUACCUUUACUCUAUACACAUCAUUUUGAACAUGAUAUACAGUAUGUCAUCUUAUUUUAUUUUAUUUUUUUUUUUACAAUUUGACAUAAUGGUUCUUUUCAGCAUGCACUUUAGAAUGCCAACAAAAGGCUCCACGAAUACAGACUUCAAACUAGAAUUUUCCUCACAGUAAAACAUACAAAACAUGAACUCGGAUCAAAAGCCUGACAGUUUGAGGACACGAUGGAGAAGCACAGCAUCAGACUACCAUGACUUUUACAGGUAAGAGCAAUGUACUCAACAGUUAGACACAAAAAUACAUGUUCUGGAUUUAAAAAAAAUAAACACCUUUUUUUCAAGUUACAACGUCUUCCUAAAAAUACACAAAGAACGGUACCCCUUUGUCAAUUCAAAGAGUAAAGCAGCGUGUGUACUACACAAAGAGGAUUGUGGGUACAGGGUGACACUUGAAUAGCGAGACAACAACUGAGCAGGUCGCAACCGAAAUGACACAUGAGCUGUGCCACCUGCCAGUCCUCUCUAUCAGCUUUUAGAGCUGCAUUUUCACUCUGCUUUCCCUCUGCCUUCUUGUUUUAACGGGCUGCUGAAAUCACAGUGUGGAUCGGCGCUUUUUGUUUUCGGGUGCUUAUUGCAAAUCCGAUUUGAUUGUUUGGGUACAUGGGAUUGCUACUGUGCAGAUGUAGCCAUUCUAGAAGUCCCACUUUUUUAAAAACUUGGUAAACUUCUGCUACACUUUUGCUCCACCCCCAAAAGGGGAAAAGUUUGGAAGAAUCAAGUUAUGCAGUUUUUUUUUUUUUUUAGCCACCAGGAGAUAUGAGGAAUAUUCUGGUAAUAAUAAUUUGGUUUGUGAAGAGACAAACAUCUGCAGCACUAACGCAGGGUAGUUGCAUGUUCAAUGCACAGCAGGGGACUUCUACAAUGGCGACUGCAUCACAGGGGGACUCUGUCUCAUUCAUGUUUGUGCUAAAACUAACUGGAAGAGUGCAGCAUCAAGUCCACUCAUUGGUCUCCACUGACCUGGCCUUUCAAAACUGCAGAUCUUACCCUGGAGUUUUAGGAUACACACACACAUUAACACACAGCAGAGCAAUUAACCUACUGAAAAUUACCAAGAGAAACAAAAGCAGAGAUGACCAUAAUGUCACAUUUAUUCAACUUAGCACAUUUGUCUCUCUAAACUGUAUAUACUGUAUGUAGAAUUUCAUAUAUGAAUACACUCCAUUUUUAGAACACAAAGUGCCUCAACUGAUACAUCUUAAUACACUUAUUGCGAGGAGGGAUACCACAGCAAGAAAAGUGAUUGACGUUGAGUGUCACGGCGCAACUUAGCAACCAACGACCUUGUUACCUGACUCACCAUCAAAAGACAGAUGUGUGGACGGAGCCGCUUGGCCCAGAUGUGCUGUGUUGUCAUCUUAUUUACACAAGUAAUAUCUAUACAGUAGAUAGUCUCUUUUAAGGACGUGUCCCGUUUGCUUUGCUCUCCUUUUUUUUUUCUUUUUUCUCCAGAGUCCCAAAAGAGGAAAACAAAAAGAGAAAUCAGGAAAAGGGCAGGUGUAGUCACUAGCAGCAAGCAGAAAACAUGUUCCCCCACUUCGGCGGUCCUGCUCCCGAGUGCUGGAC